GACAGAGGAUGCAAGCGUUAUCCGGAAUGAUUGGGCGUAAAGCGUCUGUAGGUGGCUUUUUAAGUCCGCCGUCAAAUCCCAGGGCUCAACCCUGGACAGGCGGUGGAAACUACCAAGCUGGAGUACGGCAGGGGAGACUGGAAUUCCUGGUGUAGCGGUGAAAUGCGCAGAUAUCAGGAGGAACACCAACGGCGAAAGCACUCUGCUGGGCCGACACUGACACUGAGAGACGAAAGCUAGGGGAGCGAAUGGG
rnacentral:rRNA from 1 species